AGUAGUAGUGUCAUAAAUGACUUCAUUUAUUAUCUUAUAGACUAGAAGUGCUAUGUUAUAAUAUAUUAUCUCUUCUCAUUAACUACAUGACAUAAUAUUUUUUUGAAAUGUGAUGUAUUACUAGUUAAGUUAUUUCCACUUUGACUAGCCUAAGAGUGUAUCAUUUUUUUUAUUAUUGUCUAGGGAGUUAACACUAUCUAUUCCUUUUCUUAAAUUAUAUAACCC
rnacentral:lncRNA from 1 species